rnacentral:rRNA from 1 species
CAGCAGCCGCGGGAAUACGUAGGUGGCAAGCGUUAUCCGGAAUUAUUGGGCGUAAAGCGCGCGUAGGCGGUUUUUUAAGUCUGAUGUGAAAGCCCACGGCUCAACCGUGGAGGGUCAUUGGAAACUGGAAAACUUGAGUGCAGAAGAGGAAAGUGGAAUUCCAUGUGUAGCGGUGAAAUGCGCAGAGAUAUGGAGGAACACCAGUGGCGAAGGCGACUUUCUGGUCUGUAACUGACGCUGAUGUGCGAAAGUGUGGGGAUCAAACAGGAUUAGAUACCCGUGUAGUCCCUGUCUCUUAUAC